rnacentral:tRNA from 1 species
GGGGAUUUGGCUCAGUGGUAGAGUGCUUGCCUAGCAACCGCAAGGCCCUGGGUUCGAUCCCCAGCUCCG